UACGUAGGGUGCAAGCGUUAAUCGGAAUUACUGGGCGUAAAGCGUGCGCAGGCGGUUUUGUAAGUCUGUCGUGAAAGCCCCGGGCUCAACCUGGGAAUUGCGAUGGAGACUGCAAGGCUUGAAUCUGGCAGAGGGGGGUAGAAUUCCACGUGUAGCAGUGAAAUGCGUAGAGAUGUGGAGGAACACCGAUGGCGAAGGCAGCCCCCUGGGUCAAGAUUGACGCUCAUGCACGAAAGCUAGGGGAGCAAACAGG
rnacentral:rRNA from 1 species